AGGAGUCUAACAUAUGUGCAAGUUAUUGGGAGAUAAAACUAAUAAAACUAUUUAUAGAUAAUUUACACAACCCUGGGGCGUUCUAUAUAGUUAUGUAUAAUAAUAUUUAUAGUAUUUAUGCCUCUAACUGGAACGUACCUUGAGCAUAUAUGCUGUGACCCGAAAGAUGGUGAACUAUACUUGAUCAGGUUGAAGUCAGGGGAAACCCUGAUGGAACACCGAAACUGUUCUGACGUGCAAAUCGAUUGUCAGAAUUGAGUAUAGUGGCGAAAGACCAAUCGAACCAUCUAGUAGCUGGUUCCUUUCGAAGUUUCCCUCAGGAUGGCUGCUGCAUUUUAAUGUUAUAUAAAAUAAUCUUAUCUGGUAAAGCGAAUGAUUAGAGUCCUUAGGGUCGAAACGAUCUUAACCUAUUCUCAAACUUUAAAUGGGUAAGAACCUUAACUUUCUCGAUAUGAAGUUUAAGGUUAUGAUAUAAUGUGCCCAGUGGGCUACUUUUGGUAAGCAGAACUGGCGCUGUGGGAUGAACCAAACGUAAUGUUACGGUGCCCAAAUUAACAACUCAUGCAAAAACCAUGAAAAGCGUUGGUUGCUUAAAACAGCAGGACGGUGAUCAUGGAAGUCGAAAUCCGCUAAGGAGUGUGUGACAACUCACCUGCCCAAGCAACUAGCCCUUAAAAUGGAUGGCGCUUAAGUUGUAUACCUAUAAAUUACCGCUAAAGUAGAUGAUUUUUAUUACUCGUGAUAUAAAUUUUGAAACUUUAGUGAGUAGGAAGGUACAAUGUUAUUUAUUU
rnacentral:ncRNA from 1 species